CAUCCGAGUUUCUACGGUAAGUGGACUUCGUCCGAGCUUCUACAAUAAGUGGUCUCCAUCCGGGCUUCCAUGGCAACCGAUCUCCAUCCGAGCUUCUACAGUAAGCGGCCUCCUACAAGAAUCGAACUCCGUUCAAACUUCUACAACAGAAUCGGAUUCCAGAUGAACUUCUACAACGGACAGGCUCCAGCAGUCAGAUUUCUAUAGUGACCGACUGUCUCCAGUGUCUUCCGUACCUCUCCAGCCAUCAACCUUCAACAGUGCCAACCGGACUUCAACAGUGCCAACCAGACCCCUCCAAUGGACAAAUUCCCUUCGGACCCCUCCAGCGUUCGACCUUCCACAGUGUCCACCAGACUCCUCCAGCGGAUGAACUUUCAUAAUGCCUUUCGAAUUCCGCUAUCGAUCGACCUUCUGUCGGAUUUCUCAUACAACCGGACCUCUCCAGUGGACAGUCUUCAAACAAGCUUUUACAUCAGACAAAUUUCAGAUGGACUUCUCUAGCAAUCGGACUCCAGCCGGAUUUUUACAACAGAAAAUUUCCAUUCUGGCUUCU
rnacentral:lncRNA from 1 species